rnacentral:rRNA from 1 species
UGGGGAAUAUUGGACAAUGGGCGAAAGCCUGAUCCAGCCAUGCCGCGUGUGUGAAGAAGGUCUUCGGAUUGUAAAGCACUUUAAGUUGGGAGGAAGGGCAGUAAGCGAAUACCUUGCUGUUUUGACGUUACCGACAGAAUAAGCACCGGCUAACUCUGUGCCAGCAGCCGCGGUAAUACAGAGGGUGCAAGCGUUAAUCGGAAUUACUGGGCGUAAAGCGCGCGUAGGUGGUUCGUUAAGUUGAAUGUGAAAGCCCCGGGCUCAACCUGGGAACUGCAUCCAAAACUGGCGAGCUAGAGUAGGGCAGAGGGUGGUGGAAUUUCCUGUGUAGCGGUGAAAUGCGUAGAUAUAGGAAGGAACACCAGUGGCGAAGGCGACCACCUGGGCUCAUACUGACACUGAGGUGCGAAAGCGUGGGUGCAAACAGG